rnacentral:rRNA from 1 species
GAGGCGGUUCUCUAUGAGGACCGCCAUCGGAAUGGGAACAAUUUAAAUCCUUUAACGAGGAUCAAUUGGAGGGCAAGUCUGGUGCCAGCAGCCGCGGUAAUUCCAGCUCCAAUAGCGUAUAUUAAAGUUGUUGCGGUUAAAAAGCUCGUAGUUGGAUCUUCGGCCGAGGAAUGCGGUCCCCCGUUGGGCGGUUACUGCUUUUCCUGGCCUGACUUACCGGUUCUUCGUUUUGUGCUCUUAAUUGAGUGCCUAACGUGACUGGAACGUUUACUUUGAAAAAAUUAGGGUGCUCAAAGCAGGCAUAUUGCCUGAAUAGUGGUGCAUGGAAUAAUGGAAUAAGAUCCUGGUUUUGUUUUAUUGGUUCGAAGCGAUGAUAAUGAUUGAAGGGGACAGACGGGGGCAUUCGUAUUGCGACGUUAGAGGUGAAAUUCUUGGAUCGUCGCAAGACGGACUACUGCGAAAGCAUUUGCCAAGAAUGUUUUCAUCAAUCAAGAACGAAAGUCUGAGGUUCGAAGGCGAUCAGAUACCGCCCUAGUUCAGACCGUAAACGAUGCCAACUUGCGAUCCACAGGCGUUAUAUAACGACCUUGUGGGAAGCAUCCGGGAAACCAAAGUUUUUGGGUUCCGGGGGAAGUAUGGUUGCAAAUCUGAAACUUAAAGGAAUUGACGGAAGGGCACCACCAGGAGUGGAGCCUGCGGCUUAAUUUGACUCAACACGGGGAAACUCACCCGGCCCGGACACCGUAAGGAUUGACAGAUUGAUUGCUCUUUCUUGAUUUGGUGGGUGGUGGUGCAUGGCCGUUCUUAGUUGGUGGAGCGAUUUGUCUGGUUAAUUCCGAUAACGAACGAGACUCUAGCCUGCUAAAUAGGCAGCGGACUUAUGUCCGCUGAACUUCUUAGAGGGACAAGCAGCUUCUAGCUGCACGAGAUUGAGCAAUAACAGGUCUGUGAUGCCCUUAGAUGUCCGGGGCUGCACGCGCGCUACACUGAAGGAUUCAACAUGCUUCUCUACCUUACCCGGAAGGGUUAGGUAACCCGUUGAAACUCCUUCGUGAUAGGAAUAGGGAAUUGCAAUUAUUUCCCUUGAACGAGGAAUUCCUAGUAAGUGCGGGUCAUCAGCUCGCGCUGAUUACGUCCCUGCCCUUUGUACACACCGCCCGUCGCUACUACCGAUUGGAGAUUGACGAGAAGUGUCGGGAACGGUCUCUGGACUGCUUUCAGUAGCCCAGAGUACUGUGAACCUCAU